rnacentral:pre_miRNA from 1 species
CUUUGUAUUCUUCCACAGCUUUCUUGAACUGCAACUUCGUCUUAAAUUGUUUAUAUAUUCUUGUGUUGCUUAAUCUCUGCAUGUGAGAGUUUAUAAUAGGGAUAUUGUUUGCGGUUCAAUAAAGCUGUGGGAAGAUACGAACA